GCUAGCAGCUAGCACCGUAACGUUCAAUUUCGGUCCGGGAGGAUUUCAUUGACAGAUAAACAUGUCUGGAAUUGUAUCGUUUUUCGGGGGGCCAAUAAGCCUCCUUAAAAUGACUGGAAUACGCCGGCCUUUCUCCUUGCCACCCAGCAAUGAAAUUAGAAAGAAGAGGAAGAAGAAGCCUUUCUCGUCCCGGCGGAGCUGCGGCCUGGUGGUCGGUUCGGAGCCAAUGGCGGAGGACUGCGCGAUUUCAACUCAGAAGCCUGCAGAAAACCCUACCCUGAGUGUGUCUGUGCCCUUGACCUUGUCCUGCGACCUUUGACCCUGACUUUAAUCCUCUCAGCCCUCCUCUGAGCUCGUUGUUUCAUGCCUGGUCAUGCACAGUAGCAGCAGCAGCAGCAGCCAACACGUUUGUUUCAGAAAGAUGCAACCUGAACCGUCAGCAGACAGCUGAGAGCUGCGAAUCACAAGAUGCUGAAUAAGACGAUAGUUUCUAGUGAAAACUCAUCAGUUUAAGAACAAACUUCAGCAAAACAUUCAGGUGAUAGAAGGCUGACUUUGUUGCUGCCCUUAUGUGACUCUGAAUGUUCAAGGUCUACAACACUUUAGAAGGUUGGACUGUUCAUCCUUCACCUCUACAAAAUAAAACUCGACCACAGCUGCAAAAAUUACUUU